rnacentral:hammerhead_ribozyme from 1 species
AUCCAUCUGACUAGUCCGAAAUAGGACGAAACGCGCGUCCUGGAU